GUUCGCUCUAGACAUUUGUUGAUGCAGUCCUGCUGUUGUUUUGUAGUUUUUUUGGUGUCUAUCUCUGUCUUGUCCUGCCCUCUUGUCCCCACAAUCCCCCCCUCUGUCUCCUUUUCUCUCCUGCUCUAUUCCCUUCUGCUCCAGCCUGGCUGCUCCAAAUACGCAUUAUAAUAAAACAUCAAAUAAUGUUAAAUACAAACUAUGCAACCAGAGAAGUAUCUUACACUUUUCCCUUGCGGAGCAAAUCUUUUUAGCAUACAAGGGCAUCUGCAUCAACAAUACUGCUUGCCCGAUUGGCUGGACAGGACAGAACUGGAGAAUAAUUGUAUUAUUUUGUUGAUAUUGUUCCAAUGUCUUAUUUUUUGUGUCAAUAUCAGUAUUGGUAUCGGAUCAAUACCAAAAAAGGGCAGUAUCACUCACCCUAGUGAGUAUGUAGGUGGACACAACUUCCUAACAUCCCAUCAAGUCACUCUGUGUGAGCCAUUUAGUGGAAAAAUUAUGAUGCGACGUUUUUGUUCUUUUCAGCAAAAAUGUAAUUUUUUUCACAUGAGUUGCCAGCUUGCAUAUCACAGGACAAUCCCUUUGAUUUGAUUUUUGUACAAUUAUCUGUGUUUUGAUGGCUGUCUGUGACUAAUGUUUUCAGGAAAUGGAAUCAGAAAGUUAAAAAUAAUCCCAAAGAUACAAUCUGGACUGCAGCACAAGUGACUCACAGUAUGCAGACUCCUUUCACACAUUUGUCACAUUUCACAAUUUAAAUGAUUAGUUACAGUACAGUGGAUCCCAAUUCAGUUUUACGGCCCCGCUAAUUUGUAGAGUGUCAAAAAAUUUCAAUUAUUUUUUUUUUUUCUCCAAAAAUAGGCCUCAUUCACCUUUGGUAAUAAUUUAUAAAUACCUGAUGCAGGUCAAAUGUACAGAAUACAUGUAUAACAGUAAAAAAAAGAAAAAAGCCCACAAACGUUGCGUGUUUAUGUCUUUAUGUUUCACUGAUAAUUAUUUUUCGUCAAGCAUUGAGAUUACACGCUUUGUUUUAGCAGACCAUGAACGCAACAUAGUUGUGUGCCGUGACAGGAUGCACAGUAACUCCGAUUCCAUCUGUUCAUCAGUCAUCUUACUUUAUCAUUCAUUAGUGGUGAGGAGUAGGGGUGCCAUGAGAUGAGGUCAUAUACGAGAGUGGGUCCACGAGACGACACGAAGAUUUUAACAUGAAUUUUUUUAAAAAGUACAAUGAAAAAAUAUGUCUGGACAAACAAACUUUUAUUGAUACGAGUCACAAAACAAUUCAGGUGCAUUUUGAAAUGUUUAUUGUCCCACAAUAUGACGCUAGACAAUAUUAUUGUCAACAUUUUUUGAGACCAAAUAUACCAGUAAUGUUCUGAUAAUAAUAGUAAUAUUUUAUAAUAUAUCAAAAUAAUGCAAUAUUUCUUUUACUAUGUCAUCUUUAACACUGUAAAGUUGUGGAAUUGGUGUUGGUGACAUGUAUUUUUUGACAGGCAAUUCCUAGUGUCUGUCAAACAUUUGGAGCAUUUCUUGAGCAUUUCCUUCGAGCAUGAACUGCCUUUUUAAGGUCAUGCCACAGCAUCUCAAUAGGAUUCAGGUCAGGCCUUUGACUGGGCCACUCCAAAGUCUUCAUUUUGUUUUUCUUUAGCCAUUCGAGGUGGACUUGUUGGUGUGUUUUGGAUCAUUGUGCUGCUGCAGAACCAAAUUGGUUUCAGCAAAACAGCCCCAGACCAUCACACUACCACCACACAAUUUUACUGUUGCUAUGAUGUUCUUUUUCUGAAAUGCGGCAUUACCUUUACACCAGAUGUAUUGGGACACACACCUUCCAAAAAGUUCAACUUUGUCUCGUCAGACCACAGAGUAUUUUCCCAAAGGUCUUGGGGAUCAUCAAGAUGUUUUCUGGCAAAAUUGAGACGAGCCUUAAUGUCCUUUUUGUUCAGACGUGGUUUUCGUCUUGGGGCUCAUGCAGGCCAUUUUUGCCCAGUGUCUUUCUUAUGGUGAAGUCAUGAACACACGAAUGAACAGACGCGCGUGCACAUGCCAAUACAUGGAGGCCGGAAAAAUGAUCGUGUUCAUUUUCAUUUAUGGAGCGUGGCCGUAUCAUUUACUUGCAGGUUUUCUUCAUUUGCUAGUAUGCGUGGAACGUAACUCCCCCCAAAAGUGGGGAUCUACUAAAUAUGGGGUGUGAACGGUGGGACUGAAAGGGUCCUGAAUCACGUGGCAGCGUUAUCUGCCUGAAUGUAUUUGAGCAGUGCCGUUUUGAAUAUUUCUUUUAUGCAAGCUGGCAGCUGUCAUGAUUUACUUGUUAGAGGAGUAAAUGCAUUCAAUAAAUGAUGUUAGUACACACAAAUGUAGUCGGGGUGAGUGAGCGCGCUAUGGGUUUGACAUUUGAAUUAUUUGUAGUCUUCGUUUCUUUUUCUAUUCUAAAAUAUAAGAAAGGUGUUUUUUUAUACAUUAACUUUCAGGAGUCAUUGACCUUGCGGACGCGGUAAAUGCAGCAUGAUAGGUGGAGUGGCUUGAGGACACAGAGACGCUCCCUUAAAACACACAGUGAAAGUGGAGACUUGAAACUGCCUUCAAGUGUUUAAGUGGUGUGAAUCGGUCAAGUAAGGCCAGAUUUAUGAUAAAUAAUGUUCAAAGCCAAUUUGUCAUUGUGUCAUCAAGGGGCAACCCUCCUUCAAAGUCAGGAGAAAUUAGGUAGGCAUGCGACAGAAAAUUGUAAAGUACGUGAGAGUCUGAGGGAAAAGCUGUGUUGUUAAUCAGUGCAGUUGUUAACAAAAGUUGUACAUCUGCUCCUUUGUCUUUGUCUCCAUGACGUGCGAUUUGAGACAGCACAACGUCUGGAUUGACAAUGCAUGGGUAGAAAUCUGAGAUGCUACUAACUGCAUAUGAAAAACAUUGUCCUAAAAUGAUAGCGGUGGAAUUGGGAAUUUCAAGAGCACAUUAUGGGACUGAUAUGAGUUAUCUACCGUAAAAUAAAUACAAAACGCACGGGGAGGCCAUUUGAUUGAGUUGGUGAUGGGCUCUCAGAGGGAGGUUUGAUUAUUUCUUACACCCUGAUGGCCAUGUGAGUGAAACUCCGUUGUUGAAUGGAUGGGUGGGGAAAUUAGCUUUUAAUUGAGAUUGUUCCCAUGUGACUCUGCAAAGAGUUUAUUUUUCCAAUACAGUCUAGAUUGUGACAUUAUGGUUAUGUGUGUGUUUAUGUUUAGUCAUGCACUAACAGUGUCUGUGUGCCUUUUAUUUUGCAAAUCCCACUAACGUUAUUACAUUUGCACCAGAUCUCAAUUUCCCUCAGUCACUGAGGCUUAACUUAACAUUGCUGUGAAAAUUACAAGGUUUUUUUUUCUGCUGAUUAGGUACAGGAGGUCCUCUGUCUACGACCCAGUUCCGUUCCUAUGAUUGUGAUAUAAGGCAAAUUUUAGUGUAAGUCAGAAACGAUACCUAAACUAUACCUGCAUCAACACCUAAGUCACUCACACUGUACACAAAACACAUGAAGGACAAACAGUAUUUAAAUGGAACAGUAAUAAAAAAUAAAUCAAAAACAUAACAAUUACUGAUACAGUACUUACUUUGGUUUGCACACUGGAAGGGGCGUUGCAAGGCAGGGAGAGUAGGUUUAUUGGAACGAUUAAGUCUCAUUAAUGACCACCCCUCGUCUUAAGCACAUGUCCUUGGCUUUCACACAAAACUGCAGAGAUAGUUUUAUUCAAUAAAGGAUAUUUCAGGUCUUUUUAGGUAUCUAAUCUAACAAUUCCGGUACAUUUUUCUAUAACCUAAAAUUUAUAUACAUGUUUGUCUUUUCUUGUGGCCUUCCUCAUUAACAUUGUCAUUGGUUCCAAUUCUUAAGUCUCAUGUUUAUAGAGCUUGAUUUUACAUUUUAGUACAGGGUCAGGCAAAAUGAUCUGACACAUUUGUGGGUUAAAUAAAAGGCAAAUAAAGUAAAGAAACAAGAAAUUGUUUUUAUUUUCAAAAAGUACAUAUAAUGCCAUUCUGUUUCAUUAUGUUUUAAAAAUUCAAUCAGUCAAAUGGGAUCCAUUAUUGUCCACACACUCAAUGCAGAUCCAUUGUUUGAAAUCUUUGAAAGAGCAGCAUCACUUCAUUUUAUUGGACUGGAUUCAUUAAAUUUAAGUAAGUAAAAUUCCUUAAAUAUUGGGAUCAUAGUUGUAUUGGAAGGUAUCUCCUAAAUUUAUAGAGCUUGUUUAACAAUUUUAUGCACGAUUACAUAUUUCAGUUCAUGUGGUUCGGUUAAAGCUAGUUCCAGCCCUUCUGUGACCUGGUCCAAAGGAGGGUUUGACAGAAAUUUGAAGGUUUUUACCUAAUGUAAAACUUGUUCAAUUUACAUCUUCUACAAAUACUAGCCCUCGUCCUUUUUAUGGAUACAAAUAUUAUUGUAUUACAAAAGUAAGUGAAUAUUUCUUUUCAUUGAUUAGUCUUACUUUGAUCGACUGAAAAUGAGUUCCAUCCAACUUUUGACUGUCAGCUUGUGGCUCAGUGUAAGACUGGAACAGAUAAGCAAGCAUUGUCAGCAAAUGGCUCAAUGGCUUGGCUCAAUUCAUAGUCAGAGGUAAAAGGGGGUGGGUGGACAUGCAAGAUCAGUGGUUGGACCAAAUAGAGUCAUUUCAUGAGGAGUGGAGAAGGAAACAGUUGCAGUUGGCAGAAAAAGGGCGAAAUGAGGACUAAACUGCAAUAUUUCAGGAGUAGUGAGGAGACUACACAAUGCCCAAGAUGACCCCAUCAACAAAUAUGAUGCACAAACAGGUAUAUCUUCACCCCGCAACACAAAGGUAACAAGGAGACUGUACUGGCCUCCUGCAAAACAUAUUUUGAAAAUGUUCGAUGAAGUUUCAAGAGCCUGGAAGACAGUCUUGAAGAAAGGAAACAAGCAACAAAAGAAGCGAAGAACGUACAAAGCCAGGAGUGGUGUCGUCCACAGCAUUUAAGAAGCUGUAUGGAAAAGAGCCACAACGGAUCUCAUGUCAGAGGAGGAGAACGGCAUCUAGGAUGGAAAGCCUGUGUGGGUCAUACGACUUCCACAGCGAAGUAGCAGCGGAUUAAUAGCACUUUGCGGUGUGCUGCAACAAUGACUUGAAGGGGACAAAAAACAUGUUGCGUGUCAUCACCAAAGAAUUGCACUAAAUGCCUCCAACGGCAUGUCAAUUUGAACACUUUAACAAGCUUUCACUAAUGUAGCGCUGUUUUUUUCUGCUUUUAUUUAUGCAUCUUAUUUUACACUUUUGUAUUGCACUUGUGAUC